AUGCUUGCUUCGGGGUCACAUACACCAAAAUUGGGGAGCCAUGCGGACAAGACAAGCGUGGCCCCUGAGCAAAGAUGACAUGCAAAUUUGUGAAGCAUUCCAUAGUUUU
ensembl:snRNA U6 U6 spliceosomal RNA